GACGUAGGGGGCAAGCGUUGUCCGGAAUUUAUUGGGCGUAAAGAGGCUCGUAGGCGGCUCAGAAAGUCGGGUGUGAAAACCUCCCGAGGCCUCGAACCUGGAGAUCGCCACCUGAGUACUGCUGUGGGCUAGAGGUCCGGUUCAGGGGAACACGGGAAUUCCCGGAUUGUAGCGGUGAAAUGCAUUAGAUAGUCGGGGAAGG
rnacentral:rRNA from 1 species